UUUUACCAUUUUUAAGGGGUUCAUGAGCUCAGAAGGUGAAAUCGUAAUUUGGGCCUAAGUACAAUUUCAAGGACUAUUUAUCGGACUUUAAUGAAUUCAGCUUCUGAGCUCAUGAACCCCUUAGAAAUGGUAAAAA
rnacentral:pre_miRNA from 1 species